GCCUUUCCCAGUGACAGUGAUGCUUUAUGGAAGGCUGUCUAGAGUAUGCUAAGGAGUCCCCUUCCACCACUAAUUAGCUAAGUGUUCCUUUUUUCAACUUUGAAUCAAGGCUGAAUUUUACUAAAUGCUGUUUUCCUAUUUACUGAGGUGUUCAUAUGACUCUGCCCUUUGAGCCUAUAUUAAUCUCUGUUUAUUGAUUUUUCUUUUUCUUUUUGUCACUCUGUUUUUGUGCACUGACUUUCUGGUGUUGAGCCAGCCUUGCAUUCCACCCGAUCCCGGGAGAUCAGUGUCUCCAUAUGUUACAG
rnacentral:lncRNA from 1 species